UGGUUUUCCAAAUAACGGCAUGGUUUAGCAGAUCUUCCCUGGCUGCACUGUUUAUUGAAUUUUAGUUUAAAAUAAAACUUAGUGUAACUAUAUUCGCAGCAACUGAAAAUGGUCUGAAAAUUUAAUUUUUUCAUACUUGAGGGGAUAGAAUCAAUACCAUAGUAUAAUUAGGAAGGUUUCAAUUGACCUCUGGGUGACCUCUGGGUGAACCAAUCACACAGACACCAAAUACACUCCAGAAAGACUCAGAUAUGAGAACUAUAAGAUUCCGGGUCUUCCAUCAAAGACUGCUUUGCAACAGAAAAAUGAAAAUAGUUGAAAUACAUGGGCAAUAUGCUGCCUCAAAUCAUUCCUGUAAGUAGGCAGUGUCAAUAUAAAUCAAUAUUAAGAUGGGAUAAAUCUAAAAGUUUAAACAUCUGCCUCAAAAAACCAAAUAUCUCCCCCACCCCCCAAAAUCAUAAAAAACCAAAACCCUAAUUAAAAAAAUUUUUUUGAACUAGAGAUAGGAUCUUGCUAUGUUGUCUAGGCUAGUCUCAAACUCCUGGCCUCAAGUGAUACUCCCACCUUGGCUUCCCAAAGUGCUGGGAUUACAGGUGUGGGCCACCACGCCAGCCAAAACCCUCAUUUAAACAGGUUUUAAAUACUUUACUUUUAGAAAAGAUAUAUAAUCUCUCUACCCACAUAACAGAAAAGACAUGAUUAUUCCAAAUUUAGGUGCUGAAUCCAUCAUAUUUAUAGCAAUCCCAUUUUGUGAGCAUCUUGGCUGCUGAAUCCCGUGUAUUCAUAAAGACAGUAGGAGUUAUAGUCACAAUUUUUUUUUUAUUUUUAGUUUUUUAUGGCACUUCCAGUUUUUGGAACAUAUUACUUUAACUUGUUCAGCUAUUUCAAAAUGGCAGGGGAACUUUACCUUGGCAAAAACGCAACAGUGGCCAAAGUGGAAAGUUUUUCUAGAAUCUCAUUUAAUAGAAAGGCAAUGAGCAGUGGUUCUACCACUAACAGCUCCACUUCUUAUGAACAAGGAAUAGGCACAAUUAGAGAAAGAGCUGAAAGAGAAGAGGCAGAGAAUGAAAGAGGAAUUAAAAGAGAAAAAUCAGGGGAAAGUAUAAGAAAGAUGGUAACGUAAACAUAAAAUUUAACAAGGAUAAAAACAUAAAAGAGAGAAGGGGAGGGAAGAAAGUGAUGUCCAAGAAAAAGGAAGAAAAAUGGUCAAAGAUCUCUCUUACGAUAUAGUAAUAAAUUUAUCAAACAACUUGAAUUACCCUGUCAUUAAAAUCAACUCCACACUCAAAUUAUGCAUUUUUUCCUCUAAAGAAUUAGUAACUCAUUGAUCAUCAUCUCUGUUUAGAAAUAAGGAAACCGCUUUGAAAAGUCAACAUGCCUAGAGUUAAAGAAGAAGUAGCGUCUCUGUCCAUCAUUGCCUCAGAAUUAGUCGAGAUGACCAAGAAUAUUCAUAUAGAACUUGCCACAUGUUCUUUUAAAUAGCCAACACUGUUAGAGCAUUAGAAAGUAUUGGAUUUGUAAGACAUUUAACUUCCUCUGAAAUGGUCUGUAUAUAACUCAAGAUACAAAGACAUUAUCUCUCUUUCUGAAUCUAUAAACACUUUUCAUUCAAAUG
rnacentral:lncRNA from 1 species